CUACGCUGUCCUCUGCGCACCCCGCACCCCGCCCCUCCACGCCCCGCCGCCUUCGUAAGGUCCGCGUCUCCCGUGCCCACCGGUGCACCCGCCCUGGCCUUGGUGAACGCACUAUCUGCAGCCGUGAGGAAAGCCAGGCCCCCUCGACUUUACUCCUCUUCCCAUUUUGCAGAUGCUGGCAGGAGGCACGAGGUUCCUGGGUCAGAGUUCACUCACAGAAGAACCAGUAGCCAGAGCUCCCUGUUGGCCUUGGUUCCCCUAGUCCAUGGCUGUCAGGCAGAUGGGCCUGGAUGAGAGCAUGCACAUGUGGGACACGUGUCCCCAGGAGGGCACGCUGAGCUGGGGGUCUCGCUGCGUUCACACCAAGUGGUGAUGAAUUCAUCGUUUGUCCUCCUUUCUCAGGGUUGCUCCCUGCAACAGCCCUGAGCCUGGAUAAAGCCUGGCAAGGGCCUGGCAUUCUUGACAUGCCUGGCAGUAACAUUCAGGACACUCAGGGCCAUGGGGGUUUCCUACCCCCGCAAGUGUUCCUGCCGCCCCCACCUGUGGAUCAGCUCUGGCCUGAGCAGACAGCAAGCUUCUUCAUCAUGAACACUUUCAACACCAAAUGUGUGGGUUUUUUUCCCCUCACAUUAACCAAUUCUCCUUCAUCAGCAGGUGUCCUACAAUUCAAUACAACUCUGACACCAUCUACCUGGAAUCGAUGCAGACGCCACAGUCAAUGGAAACGAUAUCCUCAGGUGAGAUUAACAACAAUAACAACAACAACAGAUCCUGGAACUGUCAGGUGAACUCCUGGGACAGAAGGCAGACAAAGCAAAGCAAAGAACAGGACAGAGAUUUCUUUCUGCGCCAGCAUACGAGGGUCCAGAAGUGUGGAAUGCACUCACUGGCUAAUUUAGAAUACUCUGAGUCCAGGAGGCCCCCAAUGCUGCCAAUGGUGAUGGCGUAUCUGUAUUUUGUGAGUAUCGUGUUUUAUUAUUUUUAUACCACACCAAAUUCCAUGAAUCCAUUUGGUUGCUAACCAGUCAUUUCAGAAUCGCUGUUCCCUCUCAGAAGGGCAGCCCAGCGUGAGCAGAGCUGCUGGGGUUUGCUUUGGAUCCAUGGCAACGUCAGGGCCAGCUCAAAGCAGCAGGGCUUUUGUUUUUGUUUUUGUUUUUUCUUUUACAUUUUGAGAAGGAGCUGGAGCUGGGAGCACAGGGAGCACACUUUCCUCAGCCUUGCUUUGUGUGUGUGUGCGGUGUCUUGCCCAGGGAACUGCUGCCAGGAAAAGGCAUCAAAAGGAAAAACCAGUUUUCCCCUUUGGUGGAACUCUGUCGCGAAUGUUUAUUGGAGUAUACUUUUUAUAACUUUUAAGGACUCUUGGACAAUUGCCAUAAAAUCAUGUCAGGUUUAGAGUUUAAAAAAAUCACUAUAUUAGCCUCUUUGCUUUUUUACUCAAUGGGAACAUUUUUUAAUUUACUCUGUAAUCAUCACACAUUUUUAUAACUCUGUCCUCUUGUGGGCCCAGAAUAGCACACAGUAUUCAACCACAUUGAGCUAAAUGAACAACAACAAAAACCUAAUCAAUUGAGUGUUAAAAUUGUUGAACUAAUGAGUACUCAUACACUUUGAUUUAAAAAAUGCUUCUGUGAGGUUGAGCCAUCUCCAUCCUACAAGAAUGAUCCAGGAGGUGGCAAUGAAUUCAUUAUUUUGAGAUUUAAAUAGCAAAGGUACCAAAGAAAAUAGAGAAUAUGAAAGAUAAAGACGUAUAAAUCAGUAAGUCUAAUUCCUAGUAGUAUAUAAUUUUAUGUUUUCCUUUCUAAUAGUUAUUCCUUUUACUUAUUUAUUGACUUACUUGCCUUGCUGUGCUAGCCAGGAUUUCCUCUGGUUGUAUAUUGGUUUGUUGUGAUUUCACAUCUACUUGUUAUGGCUUAAGUGAAGUGGUUUUGAUCUAAGGGUGAAUUUGUUUACAUGAUGGGGCUGUGUUAGGAUGAUGUCAUCAAAAUUGUUGUGGAGGAGCGACUAUGAUGUACUUAUUUAAACUUUAAUUCCAAGAGUCUGUGAGGACUUACCGAGAGUGUUCAGUCUGGAAAAGGCUACUUUUUGCUGAUCUAAAUAGUUCUCUGAAGACCUCGGGGUGGCCAGGCUGCUCUAUGCCAGCCGUGAUGAAAACUGCAGCGGCCCAUGAAGGAGACCACCUUGCCCGCCAACACCGGUGCCUUUGUUCCACUCGAAUCUUGCUCUAAUGACAAGGGACUUUCAGUUAGCGCUGGCAGCUGGACAUCAGCCGUUGGCUGGCCAAACCAACUCUUCUGAGAACCAACUUGUAGAAAGGUCUACUUUAACUAAAUUUGGACUUAAUUUCUUUCAUCUCCUCUUUGCCUGGAAUAAUAGUAUAAUUAAUCUAAAUUAUAAUAAUUCAAAAUCAUUGGUUUGGAAUAUAUAUAUAUGUACACACACACACACACACACACACACACACACACACACUCCGGUACACGAAUUUGUGCACAGGUGGGGUCCCUCUGGGUGGCCUGCGGGAUCGGACCGAAACCCGCGGUCCAAUGCUGCCUGCAGCUCCUACCUGCCGCUCCAGCUCAUCCUGGCCCUACUGUGCCUGCUGCGGGCUCGUGCCCAAUCAGUCCCGCUCGUGCUGAUGCAGCAGCGCUCGCUAGCCAUGAGCUAUGUGUCUGGUGCCCUCCCAAGGGGAGUGGCCUGCGGGAUCAGGCUGAAACCAGUUCUCUGACAUCUCCCAAGGGGUCUGGAUUGUGAGAGGGUGCAGGCCAGGCUGAGGGACCCCACUGGUGCACAAGCUGGGGAGGGACCGCGGGAGGGCUCCAGGGCAAGUCCGGCUCAUCUCGCUCAGUUCCCACAGGAGGACCCUAGCAGCAAGCUAAUCUACCAGUCAGAGCACCUGUACCCUGGUGUUCAGUGCAUGUCAUAGCAACUGGUUGACCAGUCGACUGCUCCCUGGUGUUCAGUGCGUGUCAUAGCAAGCGGUUGAGCAGCCUUAGCAUAUCAUUAGCAUAUUACACUUUGAUUGGUUGUUUGGUUGUUCUGCCUUUUGGUCUAUUUGCAUAUGACCCUUUUAUUAUAUAGGAUAUAAUAUAUAUAAUAUUAAUAUAUACAUAUAUAUUUUAAUAUAUUUUUAUUUCUUUCAGAGCGGAAGGGAGAGAGAUAGAAACAUCAAUGAUGAGAGAGAAUCAUUGCUUGGCUGCCUCCUGCAUGCCCCACGCUGGGGAUUGAGCCUGCAACCCAGGCAUGUGCCCUUGGCUGGAAUCGAACCCAGAACCCUUCAGUCUGCAGGCUGAUGCUCUACCCACUGAGCCAAACUGGCUAGAGCUGGAGUAUAUAUUUUUAAUCGACUUAUGAGGACAUAUUAUCCUGUAUUGGCUUGUGAUAUAUCAUUAUGUUACAAUUUCUGCAGUGAACUUAUCCUAUCUAAUAAUAGACAAACAGGGUAAUUGACUGUACCUUCGCUACGCCUCCCAUUGGUUAAUCAGGAGGUAUGCAAAUUAACCACCAACAAAGAUGGCGGUUAAUUUGCAUACAUAGGCGCUAAGCG